AUGGCCGGCAUUCUUGGAAGGCUCUCCACCAAAAGGGUUGUGUUGGAUCCUGAAUCCCUGAAUCGCAAGAAGCCCCUGACAUCCAGGCCACACUGGGUUCUCAGCUCUUGCCGGAAAGCUCCGCAUAACUUCUCUCUUUCUCUGGUUGGCUCUCUUCUUAAGGGGGCUGUUGUUUGGUGAAAUGUGUCGGUAUCAAGCGUGGGAAGAUGAUUCCCUACAGAGUGAAGAUCUUAUACAAAGCACUACAGAUGGCAUAGAUGUUACAGGAACAAGGUUGGCUGCGAGACUGGCAAAUUUGGAAGAGCGGAUGACACGAGUGGAGGCUAGGGUGGAGAGACUCGAGGCAAGGAUGUUAUAUCUGCAAAAAGGAAUGCGUUUUGUUUGUGUGCUGUUUCUGGUUACUCUUGUAUAUGCAAUAUGGAAGUAGAUGGUAAAGGAAUGAUUUGCUGAUCAUGCUGUAUGCUUCUCAUUUCUGUUAGAAUUCUGAUGAAUCUAUGAACUGCAGUAGAAGUAAUGAUAGGCUAUGAAAUAUGGAAUAUGCAUAUUUUCUAUUGAUGCUCUAGAACAUUUUGACUUGG